AUGCUGCAAAACUACCUCCUUGACACCGGCUUCCCUGGCCUCCUCCACGCGCACUUCUACGAGUCAGGCCCCUACCUCAAGUUCGCACACUUGACCGCGAACCAAGCCAUCCUGGAGGCAUUUGCUGGCUGCCGUCGUGUCCACGAAGUCGACUUCGGCAUAAAGCAGGGUAUGCAAUGGCCUGCCUUUCUCCAAGCCCUUGCCCUCGGUCCCGGCGGUCCUCCGUCUUUCCGCCUCACCAGCAUUGCCCCGCCGCGUCCGAACAAGAACUUCUUGCAGCAGCUGGGCUGGAAUCUUGCCCAGUUCGCGCACACUAUCCAAGUGGAUUUCCACUACCGCGGCCUCGUCGCCGCUACGCUCGCUUACCUGGAGCCAUCCAUGCUGCAGCCGGAGGGUGAGGAGGAGGACCGAAAUGAAGAACCCGAGGUAAUCGCCAUCAACUCCGUCUUCGAGAUGCACCGGCUGCUCGCGCAGCCUGGCGCCCUUGAGAAGGUCCUAGGCACCGUGCACGCCCUGCGGCCGAGGAUCAUUACCAUGGUAGAGCAGGAGGUAAACCACAACGGCUCUUUCCUGGACCGCUUCACCGAGUCUCUGCAAUACUACUCUGCCAUGUUCGAUUCUCUUGAGGGUGCCGGCUCUGGCCCGUCCGAAGUCUCAUCGGGGGCUGCUGCUGCUGGUGGUACGGACCAGGCCAUGUCAGAGGUGUACCUUGGCCAGCAGAUUUGCAACGUGGUGGCUUGCGAGGGCGCGGAGCGCACAGAGCACCACGAGACUCUGGAGCAGUGGCGGAACCGUCUUGGCAAUGCCGGGUUCGAGACCGCGCACCUGGGCUCCAAUGCCUACAAGCAGGCCAGCACGCUGCUGGCUCUCUUCAGCGGGGCCGAUGGGUACAAGGUGGAGGAGCAGGAAGGUUGCCUAACACUUGGGUGGCACACUCGCCCGCUGAUCGCCACUUCGGCUUGGCGCCUCGCCGCACCGUGA
rnacentral:rRNA from 1 species